UACGAAGGGGGCUAGCGUUGUUCGGAAUUACUGGGCGUAAAGCGUGCGCAGGCGGCUUCUCAAGUCAGGGGUGAAAGCCCAGAGCUCAACUCUGGAAUUGCCUUUGAGACUGAGUGGCUUGAGUACGAGAGAGGUGAGUGGAAUUCCCAGUGUAGAGGUGAAAUUCGUAGAUAUCGGGAGGAACACCAGUGGCGAAGGCGGCUUCCUGGACCGGUUCUGACACUGAGGAGCGAAAGCGUGGGGAGCGAUCCGG
rnacentral:rRNA from 1 species